ACGCGUCCAGAUGGGCCAAGCACCAAGGUCCAACUUCUCCUUCCUCUAAUAUGGUGCCGUUCUCUAGUUUCCAGGGUUCCUGCAAUUCGAACGCCGCCGCCACCACAGGCUACUCCGGCCGCCUCCCCGCCACACACGCCGCUGAUAGACUCCGUAGCGGACCUAUGUUCCAACCUCUCCGCCCUCCGUCCUCCGCGCCGCUACUUCUGAAGGCGCGUUCUGGAGGCGCUUGCAGACCCGGGGUCAAAGGCCGCCAUCGAAGUUUCUGAAGGCCGUUGAGUUCCUCCUCCCGCACCUCCUUCCUCUCCUCCUCCCCGACACCGCCAUGACGGAGGAGCGCCGAGCCUGAUCGUGCCCUCCCCUCCCCAGCCAGAUCGGGAGGCACCGGAUCCGGCGCCGCACCCCACCUCCGGUCCAUCACUGAUAGCAGCAUCACCGGACCUCAACGCCGGCCAGAUAUCCCAUGGCCUCCCUCCAACCACGACCACACCUCGGAUGGGUCUCACAAGACUCACUCCUCGCCAUCUGCAUCAUACUCCCUGCAGUUGGUUCUCGAGCUCCAUCUUCCCUGUCGCUCGUACCACACAUGCGUGUGGAUUCUGCCAUCCUGGGGUUCCAGGGCGAGUGAUAGUUGCGGGAGGUAAACAAGAGAGAAUGGGAGACCAUGACUGGGGAUGACCUGCUGUGGGCGAUUGUGAGGACUACAUUGAAUCCUUCAAGGUCUACGAUGGAUGUUUGGGUUUACUACGACUCGCAUGACGCUGUGUGGUGCCGGCGAGGAGGACCAAGCAAGAAGUGGACUAUCAGCCUUCGAGUUUCCUAUCAGCCUUCGAGUUUCCUAUCACCUUGACAUUGAGAAGAUGCCACCCCAAUUAAGCCGUCUCUGCACUACAGGUGCUGAUCAGAACAUACAGAGGGAUUUCUGGCCGGUUAUUUCAACAUGCAAUAGUUGGAGAGAUUUCAUCGGCAAUUACAUGAAGCGCCGAACAUCGUGAAUCUUAUUUCAGAUUUUCAGUCAUCUAAGCACGACCAGAAGACUAGGCCGAUUUCGUUUGUAAAAAAAGGAGCAAGAGCUAGCCAUGUGAUUCAAUCUAUCGUGCAAGCAAAGCAGCUGGAUCCAUAAUCAUGUAUGGGACAAGACACGUGAUGGCUAGCUAAAGAUCACAUGAUGGAAUAAAGAGUUCCAACCUUAAAUAAAAUGUGACUUACAUAUAGAUUAGUGGAGUGCUUUUGUAUUUUAUAUGUCCAUGCAGUUAUUUGCUUCCGUACAGUAUAAUAUUGUUUUCUGUAGCACUCUUUUUUUGUUUACCUCCCUAACCAUGCAUAUAUUAAUUACCCACUCUAA